CAAUGCUGAAAUCGGAAAAGGUUUAGAACAUUUUAUACAACCGAUUAGGGCUAAACUUUUGUAAAUUUUAGGACACUUUUCUCAUAAAAGUCAGUUAUGUGCAUUUGAGGUCUGGGGCAGAGGCCAUUAGAAUGGAUCGCUGGCUAAACGAGAAUUUAACCCAGACGGAGGUCGGGGAGAACUUCGGCAAGACUUGCAACGUGGAGACGGACCCAAGCGAUGCAUUUAGCAAGCUUUUAAACCUGAUAACCAGCGCCACCGUCCAGCUUUUCAAGUGGGUGCUGAGCCACUGUUGCAGCUACGUGGAUCCCGAGAACAUUCUGCAUAUUGACUAAAAAUUCAAUCAUUGAUCUUCUUUAUUUUUAAAUUUUUAGUUCCCAAUAUGGUAAUCAAAUUAAAGAUGCUCUAACAAUUGGUUUAUCAGGUUUAAUAUAA